rnacentral:rRNA from 1 species
ACGGAGGGUGCGAGCGUUAAUCGGAAUUACUGGGCGUAAAGCGUGCGCGGGCGGUUCGCUAAGACAGGUGUGAAAUCCCCGGGCUUAACCUGGGAAUGGCGUUUGGAACUGGCGGGCUGGAGUACGGUAGAGGGGGGUGGAAUUCCAAGUGUAGCAGUGAAAUGCGUAGAGAUGUGGAGGAACACCGAUGGCGAAGGCAGCCCCCUGGACCGAUACUGACGCUCAUGCGCGAAAGCGUGGGGAGCAAACAG